rnacentral:tRNA from 1 species
AGAAACUUAGGUUAACCUAUAAACCGAAGGCCUUCAAAGCCUUAAACAAGAGUUAAAUUCUCUUAGCUUCUG